CCUACGGGUGGCAGCAGUAGGGAAUGUUCGUCAAUGGGCGCAAGCCUGAACGAGCAAUGCCGCGUGAACGAGGAAGGUCUUCGGAUCGUAAAGUUCUGUUGAAGGGGAAAAAGAGCGGAGAGAGGAAAUGGUCUCCGAUUGAUAUUACCCUUCGAGGAAGUCACGGCCAACUACGUGCCAGCAGCCGCGGUAAUACGGGGGUGGCGAGCGUUAUCCGGAAUGAUUGGGCGUAAGGGGUGCGUAGGCGGCCUGCUAAGUCUGGGGUGAAAGGUACCGGCUCAACCGGUACAGGGUCUGGAAACUGGCGGGCUAGAGCGCAGGAGAGGGCGGUGGAACUCCAUGUGUAGCGGU
rnacentral:rRNA from 1 species